rnacentral:rRNA from 1 species
AUUGAACGCUGGCGGCAGGCCUAACACAUGCAAGUCGGGCGAGCGGCGGACGGGUGAGUAAUGUCUGGGGAUCUGCCCGAUAGAGGGGGAUAACUACUGGAAACGGUGGCUAAUACCGCAUACUAUCGGAUGAACCCAUAUGGGAUUAGCUUGUAGGUGGGGUAAUGGCUCACCGGGGCGACGCUCCCUAGCUGGGCUGAGAGGAUGACCAACCACACUGGAACUGAGCCACGGUCCAGACUCCUACGGAAUGCAGCAGUGGGGAAUAUUGCACAAUGGGCGCAAGCCUGAUGCAGCCAUGCCGCGUGUGUGAAGAAGGCCUGCGGGUUGUAAAGCAGUUUCAGCGAGGAGGCGUUACUCGCAGAAGAAGCACCGGCUAACUCCGUGCCAGCAGCCGCGGUAAUUC